ACAUGUAAUAAAUUAACGCGGGAAACACAAGAUUUAUAAAUGCAACAUUAUAGUAUUUAAAGAAAUAAUGCUACUAUUAAAUAAUUUAUAAUUUUAAAAGAUACACAGAUUAACUUAUCUGAGCAUUAUUCAAUUUGCGAUUAGUUCCAAUUGAUUGUGUUUGAUUCCAUCAGAUUCACUUUCAUCGCUGCAGAGUGAAACUUUGCGGACUACCAUACAUAUAUACGUUCUGCGUAAGCCAUCAAUUUGGCUGAGAAACUCAUAUAUGUUUUGGGCGAAACCAACUAAUACUACCAAGAGACAUGUGUCAUUUUAUUUAUCCUGUAGAGGAUCUGUGCAUGUACGUGUCUAGAAUUUCACAUCUAUGAUCGAAAAGCGCAUCUACGCAGGAAUGUGUGUAGGUUAAAAUUCUCACGAUCUGGUAACGGUGGAACUGAUCCGUCUUCGAUAAUUUAUAUUAAGUAAAUGAUUUAAAUCUCCACUCAGGUAAAUAAUUUAAUACCGCAUAUAUCAAAAUUUUUAUAAUAGAAUGAAUUGUAUUUGUAUUGUCUUGCAUCAAAGUUAGCUUUUUAGAAAUGUACCACAAUUUCAUAACCCUAUAUACAAAUACAAUUAUAUGCAAUUUAAUACAAUAGAAUUAAACAAUACAUAACACAUAUGUAUAAAAAAUAUUUUGUACAUUUGGUUAUAACACUUCAAAAAUUCUAAAAGGAAUAUGAUAAGAAAAUAUGAUUUUUCAAUUACAACAAAAUUAAAAGUCGGUGAAGUUUCUCAUACAAUUUUUUAUUUUCCCACUGCGUACAGAUUUGAGUAUGCAACGUGCUCCAUUAAGCACUUGUAGCUGAUGGUGCCGAGGUAGUAGCUUGUGCCUGUUCCUCGCGAAUGCGGUCUUUUUUAAGUUGACCCAUAAA